UACGUAGGGGGCAAGCGUUGUCCGGAUUUAUUGGGCGUAAAGAGCGUGUAGGCGGUCAGGUAGGUCGGUUGUGAAAACUGGAGGCUCAACCUUCAGACGUCGACCGAAACCCCCUGGCUAGAGUCCGGGAGAGGAGAGUGGAAUUCCUGGUGUAGCGGUGAAAUGCGCAGAUAUCAGGAAGAACACCCGUGGCGAAAGCGGCUCUCUGGAACGGUACUGACGCUGAGACGCGAAAGCGUGGGGAGCGAACAGG
rnacentral:rRNA from 1 species